ACUACAUAUAUAUAUAUAUAUGU
rnacentral:misc_RNA from 1 species